AUCUGGAUGACGAAUCCCAAACAGGACGAAAUGCACAUCCUGGAU
rfam:Trichobilharzia regenti genome assembly, scaffold: TRE_scaffold0028166